UCUGGAGAAAAAACUCGGUCUGCAAGAGAAGUAACCGCGCAGUCACGCCAAAAAGGCCGGAUAAUCCGGCCUUUUUUU
rnacentral:sRNA from 1 species